UGGGGAAUAUUGGACAAUGGGCGCAAGCCUGAUCCAGCCAUGCCGCGUGAACGAUGAAGGCCUUAGGGUUGUAAAGUUCUUUUGUCAGGGAAGAUAAUGACGGUACCUGAAGAAUAAGCACCGGCUAACUACGUGCCAGCAGCCGCGGUAAUACGUAGGGUGCGAGCGUUAAUCGGAAUUACUGGGCGUAAAGCGUGCGCAGGCGGUUUUGUAAGACAGACGUGAAAUCCCCGGGCUUAACCUGGGAACUGCGUUUGUGACUGCAAGGCUAGAGUAUGGCAGAGGGGGGUAGAAUUCCACGUGUAGCAGUGAAAUGCGUAGAUAUGUGGAGGAAUACCGAUGGCGAAGGCAGCCCCCUGGGUCAAUACUGACGCUCAUGCACGAAAGCGUGGGGAGCAAACAGGAUUAGAUACCCCCGUAGUCCCUGAGCGGGCUGGCAAGGCGCAU
rnacentral:rRNA from 1 species